GGGGGGAGCGCGGCCCGCGCCUCAAACCAAGGUACCCCAACCCAACAGCGCACUGAGGCGCACCCUCGCCUAACCACCGAUUUAUCCACAACCCUACCGCUUGGGGCCCGAGACUGGGGGAUGGGGGGCGCGGAAUGGAGGGAGGGGAAUGAGAGUAACGACACCCCUGACGGCCCUUGGGGGACGGUCCCUGCCGCCCGGUGGGACGUCAGCCGCCAGCGGAGCCCUGAUAGCAGGCGCGUGCCUCGGGAAGGGGGGAGUUAUAGGAAGGGAUUUGGCAAAAGGGACCAUUAACGGGACACUGUUAUGGAAACAAAUGUUUG